UUUCUUUGUUCAUAGUUAAUUCCAUAGUGUUCGAUUUUAGAAGACUAACUGCAACAAAAGUGCUUGUGAGCCAACGAAACAUAAAGUAGAACCUCGAUAGUUCGACACUCCCUGUAGUUCGACACAGGCCGUGAUGACAAGACAUGGCAUCAGUGGCCGAUGACGGGUUCACCAAGGAAAAGAGGAGUUAUUGGUGCACAGAAUAGGAACAUCAGGCUGAGGUUAUGCGACAGUAAAUAAUGUAUAAGUAAAAUGUCACUUAAUUUAACUCAUGUUCUAAUUUUCAAGUUUGUUUUAUACUUUAUAUUUUCAUAAAAUAAAUUUACUAUAACCAA